UUUGUUGGAGAGUUUGAUCCUGGCUCAGGGUGAACGCUGGCGGCGUGCCUAAGACAUGCAAGUCGUGCGGGCCGCGGGGUUUUACU
rnacentral:rRNA from 1 species